UGGAAGUCUGAUCACUUUAUAUUUACACAUAGAGCAGCUGCUACUGAAAAAAUUUCUGUCCAUAAUACUGAAAACUUACUCGAAGUGGACUUGCAGCUUCCAAUUCUAGACGCCAAAAAAAAAAAAAAGAGAGAGAGAGAAGGUGGAAAUAACCAAAGAAGAGGCUAAUGAGUCUUAAUGAUGCCUUGUCCAAAACAGGCGUCACACAGCUGAAGGAGCAAGGACAGCCAAGACGGGUCCACAACGCUCUCGCUUUCCCCGGCUCAAGACUGUGACGUCUGGUAGACACCGUUUCAGAUCUCCA